UGACAGAUAGGAAUCUUGAUACUAGAAAUGUAUGCAUUCUAAGUUGUUAAGAAACAUAUGCAGGAGGCUGGUCUCUUAGGGAUAAACAUUGCCUGAACUUCAAGAUUAUAUGGUGCAGAAUGACAGUCUCAUUGCACCUCCAGGUGGGAGUACCAGCAUAAACACAGGGCCAGGGAGCUGUGCCUCAAAGACAAGCCUUUCCCUUCUAAUCUUACUAUUAAAAUGAAACUCCAUUAAAACUGGAGGAGGUAGAUAGGCAUAGCUGGUCAUAUCCUGUCUUGGCAAUCAGAUCUAAUUUUAACUUAAUUUUGUUGUGCUGUGGUUACCUAAACCAGCCUAACAUUACACCCUGUAGCCACUUCUGCCAGAGAUACUUAUUAGGUCUUACCCCUGGAGUAAAACAGACCCUGAAGAAGAGAGGGAAAAGGGAGAGAGCACAGAACGCACCCCUGGCGAGUAGCUGGGAAAGAAUCAGACUGAUGCUGACAAACAUCUAUGACGACACGGACACAGCACUGCCAUAAGCAAGGGGAUGGAUCUGGUCCCCUCUUGAGGUGAGCCAGUCCUUUCCAGUUCAGUGGCUUACUGAAGAGAUCGUUCAAAUGUCUUAGUGAUACUGGACCAAGCAUGUUAUUGAGGCAUCAAUCUGUUGUACUUUCUACCAUAAGAAAAACUACCUCUGUAAGAAACUUGACUGCAGCUUCUGACUCCUUGUCAACCUACAGGUGACGUUUGUCACAUUUCAGGCUGAGUUUUCUGGUUUAUUGAAGAA